GAUCUUAACAAAACAUUACAGAAAGGAAUGUGCAGACAGGACUGCUGUUUAUCAACUUGUAAAUACUAAUAUAUCUGGUGGGAGUAGAUCUGAAAUUGGAAGGCAAGAUUUAAGCAAGAAAAAUCUCGGCGAGACGAGAAUCAAUCGAGCGCGGCGUAAUGCCACAGGUAGCAUCAUCAAAAGCUGUACAAUCUUCUUCUUCAUCCGUAUGGACUCGCCACUCCUCACUCAUCUCUCUCGCAACCCUAACCCUCAUCUCCCUCACUUACUUGUCCCAAAAAUCUCUUCGGAUCCCUUCUAUGGUCCAAGCCAAGUCAGAGAUUAUCAGUAUAAAAGAUGAAGUAUCCGACGAUGUGUAUCACUCCCCGGAGAUCUUCAGGUUGAAUUACGCAGAGAUGGAGAAGAAAUUCAAAGUGUUUAUAUACCCGGAUGGCGAUCCCAAUACGUUUUAUCAAACACCCAGGAAGCUUACGGGCAAGUACGCUAGUGAGGGCUAUUUCUUUCAGAAUAUUAGGGAGAGUGGGUUUCGCACAGAGGAUCCGGAUCAAGCCCACUUGUUUUUUAUCCCAAUUUCCUGUCAUAAGAUGCGAGGAAAGGGUACUUCGUAUGAUAACAUGACGAUUAUUGUUCAAAACUAUGUGGAGAGCUUGAUAUAUAAGUAUCCGUACUGGAACAGAACAUUGGGUGCUGAUCAUUUUUUCGUCACCUGUCAUGAUGUUGGUGUAAGGGCAACGGAAGGACUUCCACUUCUUGUGAAGAAUUCUAUUCGGGCUGUGUGCUCCCCGAGCUACGAUGUUGGAUUUAUUCCACACAAAGACAUAGCUCUUCCUCAAGUGCUUCAACCAUUUGCUCUUCCUGCCGGAGGCAAUGACAUUGAGAACAGGACACGUUUAGGUUUUUGGGCUGGUCAUAGGAAUUCAAAAAUCAGAGUUAUAUUGGCUCGUGUCUGGGAAAAUGAUACAGAACUUGAUAUUGCAAACAACAGGAUAAAUAGGGCUACUGGACAUCUAGUCUACCAGAAAAAGUUCUACAGGACUAAAUUUUGCAUCUGUCCUGGUGGUUCACAGGUCAAUAGUGCACGCAUUGCAGAUUCAAUUCAUUAUGGCUGUAUACCUGGAUUCUUGUCUUUUGCUGACACAAUGUCUUGAAGAAGAUGCACAAACUUCUUGAAUUAAAUGCAAAAGUUAUACUGUCUAAUUACUAUGAUCUCCCCUUCAAUGACAUUCUUGAUUGGAAGAAGUUUGCGGUAGUACUCAGAGAGAAUGAUGUGUAUCAGCUAAAACAAAUUCUUAAGGCUAUAACCAAUGAAGAAUUUGUUUCCUUGCACCAAAAUUUAGUGAAGAUCCAGAAGCACUUCCAGUGGAAUACGCCACCUAUCAAAUUUGAUGCUUUUCACAUGGUCAUGUAUGAUUUGUGGCUACGGCAUCGUGUUAUCAAAUACUAAAUUGUGGCCUGGUUGUGAUUCCAAUGACACAAUGAUUGUAGAAGCUGUUUAUUAUCACAGUUACAACCACUUUCCUUUUGGUUCAUUUUAAUGCCCUUACAAGAAUGGGAUACAAGUUCUUCGAAUCAUCAGUGUUCAUUUACUCUCAUGUAUUAUAUUAAUUCUUUAUGUACCUAGGCAUGAUCAUUUGAUUAAUUGAUUGGUAAAGGAUUCCCCAAAGCAGUGUAACUUUUAUGUCCCAAACUAACACAAAACAGUACUGAUAUUGUAUAAAGGGUUUAGUAUGUAUGGGUAACAUAUCAAUUUGGUGCAA